rnacentral:lncRNA from 1 species
UCAGGGGUCUUUUGGUCUUCUCCUAUUUCGUUUAACCCCUAAGAUACGUCGUUUUGAACCUAAAUCAUGAGGUUUUAGUUAGUUUAAGCCUAGAAACAUAACUAGAACUUACCUAAGUCAAAUCAUUAAUCAAACUUAGAAGAAUUAGAACGCUAAGAGGAGAAAAGAGGUCAAGAACCCUAGUUCAAGAACGCAGCAAGGUUCCAUCAGUUCCAGC